CCGCGGGGCGACCGCCUCGCGGGAACUGACACCGGUACCUGAUACGGCCGGUGCAG
rfam:Streptomyces sp. SirexAA-E, complete genome.